UUCCAUGAUGAUCUUUUCUUUGCUUCGGCAAGUUGGAAUUACCGACUGAUCCUCCUUGAAGAAAACAAACUGGCUGUUUCUGAUC
rnacentral:snoRNA from 1 species